GACGAACGCCGGCGGCGUGCUUAACACAUGCAAGUCGAGCGGAAAGGCCCUUCGGGGUACUCGAGCGGCGAACGGGUGAGUAACACGUGAGUAACCUGCCCCAGACUUUGGGAUAACCCUCGGAAACGGGGGCUAAUACCGGAUACGACACAGCUUCGCAUGGGGUCUGUGUGGAAAGUUUUUCGGUUUGGGAUGGGCUCGCGGCCUAUCAGCUUGUUGGUGGGGUGAUGGCCUACCAAGGCGACGACGGGUAGCCGGCCUGAGAGGGCGACCGGCCACACUGGGACUGAGACACGGCCCAGACUCCUACGGGAGGCAGCAGUGGGGAAUAUUGCACAAUGGGCGGAAGCCUGAUGCAGCGACGCCGCGUGAGGGAUGACGGCCUUCGGGUUGUAAACCUCUUUCAGCAGGGACGAAGCGUAAGUGACGGUACCUGCAGAAGAAGCGCCGGCCAACUACGU
rnacentral:rRNA from 1 species